rnacentral:rRNA from 1 species
AAGCAACUAGCCCUGAAAAUGGAUGGCGCUGAAGCGUCGAGCCUAUACUCUGCCGUCAGCGGCAAGUGGGGCGGCCGUGGUGGCCGGGCGUUUAACGCGCUCGCCCUACGCGCCGCCACGAAGCCCUGACGAGUAGGAGGGUCGCGGCGGUGUGCGCAGAAGGGUCUGGGCGCGAGCCUGCCUGGAGCCGCCGUCGGUGCAGAUCUUGGUGGUAGUAGCAAAUACUCCAGCGAGGCCCUGGAGGACUGACGUGGAGAAGGGUUUCGUGUGAACAGCCGUUGCACACGAGUCAGUCGAUCCUAAGCCCUAGGAGAAAUCCUAUGUCAAUGACGGCGUACGAUACUCGAGUGUCCGCAGCACACGGACUGCGAGCGAGCGAGCGUGCGUGCGCGGGCGCGAGCGCGCAUAGUAGUCCGCCGCCGCCGAGUCGCGAGUCGUGGCGACUCCGGCUUACGGCGGCGACGAAAUGCCGUGCCGCGCCGUGCACAAAAAAACUCGCGAGCGAGCUAGAGAUAGAGAGCGAGUGUGAGAGACACACGCCCGUCGGGCGAAAGGGAAUCCGGUUCCUAUUCCGGAACCCGGCAGCGGAACCGCAUACAAUUCGGGCCCUCGUAAGAGUGUUCGUCGGGGUAACCCAAAAUGACCUGGAGACGCCGUCGGGAGAUCCGGGAAGAGUUUUCUUUUCUGUAUAAGCGUUCGAGUUCCCUGGAAACCUCUAGCAGGGAGAUAGGGUUUGGAACGCGAAGAGCACCGCAGUUGCGGCGGUGUCCGGAUCUUCCCCUCGGACCUUGAAAAUCCAGGAGAGGGCCACGUGGAGGUGUCGCGCCGGUUCGGUUCGUACCCAAAUCCGCAGCAGGUCUCCAAAGGUAAAGAGCCUCUGUCGAUAGACUAAUGGUAAAGAGCCUCUAGUCGAUAGACUAAUGUAGGUAAGGGAAGUCGGCAAAUUGGAUCCGUAACUUCGGAAUAAGGAUUGGCUCUGAGGAGCGGGGCGUGUCGGGCUUGGUCGGGAAGCGGGUCUGGCUGACGUGCCGGGCCUGGGCGAGGUGAACGCCCGGUGUUCUCGCGCCGGUGCCGGGAUCCGAGCUCGGUCCCGUGCCUUGGCCUCCCGCGGAUCUUCCUUGCUGCGAGGCUUCCGUGGCGGCGCGAGCCGUCGUGGUCGUCCUCUUCGGCCGCCAUUCAACGCUCAGCUCAGAACUGGCACGGACUAGGGGAAUCCGACUGUCUAAUUAAAACAAAGCAUUGCGAUGGCCCUCGCGGGUGUUGACGCAAUGUGAUUUCUGCCCAGUGCUCUGAAUGUCAACGUGAAGAAAUUCAAGCAAGCGCGGGUAAACGGCGGGAGUAACUAUGACUCUUAAGGCCGUAACCUUAAGAUUGAAGUUAGCUCUCCUAAGCCCUUGAUUCUCACCAAGAGUCUCUUUGGGCUUGGGGUUAGGACCAGUUACUAGGUGGGUGGUGCUAUUCCAUCAUAGUUUGAGAACAAGUCACCUAUCAAGUCAUACACCUACCUCCUAGGUGGUCUCGCUGGAUGUCCCGCAGCUUAGGCUGCGGUAACCGAAGGUGUAUGGCGAACUAUAUGCGCCUCAAAGGGCUUUUAGCCCAUGCGCCUAGCCCAUGGUGAGCUGUGGGGCCAAGAAAGGGCAAGGCUUUCGGGGAGCUCUCGGUUGUCAAUCCGUUUGCUCCCCAACAGGCAGAUAAUAUGGAUAAUACAAAAGAAAAUGAAUGUUCACUCCCGGGUUCUCGGAUGGCCUGGGCACUGCGUGCAAGAGUAAAUGUAGCUUCUGCUAGUGCGGCGGCGUCAGGUGCGGG